CUAUAACCCCAGCCCAACCAACCUGAAUUUUAUUUAAUUAAUUAUUUUUACCAAACAAAACAUUUUAAUAUUCUAGUAAAGGAGAUCGAAAAAUUCACUGGAGCUCUAACAACAGUACCGCAAGGGAACAGUGAAAUAACAUGAAAAACUUUAAGUAAUAAAAAGUAAAGAUUGCCCCUUGUACCUUUUGCAUCAUGGUUUAACUAGUCUGACCCGGCAAAACGCAUUUAAGUCUGACUCCCCGAAACUAAGUGAGCUACUCCAAGGCAACUCAAGGAGUGAACCCGUCUCUGUAGCAAAAGAGUGGGAUGACCUUGAAGUAGAGGUGACAGACCUAACGAACUUAGUGAUAGCUGGUUACUUAGGAAAAGGAUCUUAGUCCAACCUAAAACUAUUUUCAGUUCACCAAAACACUAAUUAAGAUUUAGCGUAAUUCAAAUAAGGUACAGCCUAUUUGAAACAGGAUACAACCUAAACCAAUGGGUAAAAUCAACCUCACAUACAAUCAAGUAGACUUAAAAGCAGCCAUCUUUAAAAUUGCGUCAAAGCUUAACUUCCCUUACACCUAAUCACACAAAUAUUAUUUUAACCCUCAACCAAUACUAAGUAAUUUUAUACCCCCCCCCCUUAAAUUUUUUUUAAAACUAGUAACAAGAAGAAGACCUUCUCUUAAAUGUAAGUGUAAGUCAAAUAGGACAAUCCACUGGCACCUAACACCAAUAAACCCAAAAUAGUAACUAAUCAAGAAAAUUCUACUCACACAAAUGUUACCCUUACACAAGAACAUUUUAAGAAAGAUUGAAAGAAAAAGAAGGAACUCGGCAAAUACUAAUCUCGCCUGUUUACCAAAAACAUCGCCUCUUGACCCCCAUAAGAGGUCCAGCCUGCCCAGUGACUCUGUUCAACGGCCGCGGUAUCCUAACCGUGCGAAGGUAGCGUAAUCACUUGUUCAUUAAUUGUGGACUAGUAUGAAUGGCACCACGAAGGUUACACUGUCUCCUUUCUCCAAUCAGUGAAACUAAUCUCCCCGUGAAGAAGCGAGGAUAGAAUUAUAAGACGAGAAGACCCUAUGGAGCUUAAAAUAAUACAGCAUUCACCUAAUAUUCAGCUUCAAAACAUAACUUCCCAUAAAAUUAUAUGUUGUAAAUUUUUGGUUGGGGUGACCGCGGAGUAUAACCCAACCUCCGCAUUGAAUGCUUAGAGCUACCCCCCGAAGCAUUAACACUUUAACAUUAAUUGACCCAAUAAAUUUGAACAACGAACCAAGUUACCCUAGGGAUAACAGCGCAAUCCACUUCAAGAGCCCCUAUCGACAAGUGGGUUUACGACCUCGAUGUUGGAUCAGGGUAUCCCAGUGGUGCAGCCGCUGUUA
rnacentral:rRNA from 1 species